rfam:Myotis lucifugus cont2.1840, whole genome shotgun sequence.
GUCGUGUCUCGGCCUUUUGGCUAUGAUCAUGUGUAAUAUCUGUUCUUAUCAGUUUAAAAUUUCUUCAAUCAAAAUAUCAAGGCUAGAACCCAGCUACAUAGCUUUAAUCCCUU